AUAGUAAUUUUUCCAAAUUUGCAGUAAUUUGUAACCGCAAUAGAACAUCUCCUUCCUUGAGCGAAACGCUACUGUCUGUCCUUACCCUACUCUUUCUGCUGUACUCCUUUAACUCGCCAGUCAAUUUCGUUCGAUUCUCUCUCCCCGCGAGCUCACUGUUGCUUUGGUCAAUGCGAACCCUAAUACUCUUCCGCCGAACGACAAUGGCGAUCGACCCUUUGCUGUCGGAAUGCACUUCGACUAAAUCCCAGACCAUGUGGAUUAUCUUUGUUAUUUUAUUAGUGCAACUUGGAGAUGCUGCUUCUUUUUAAGCAAUUGGAUUUGUGGCUUAAUUUCAAGUCCUGGAUGGCUUCCUUUUGAAGAAUUUUUUUACCAAGUCUGCUGGAAGAGGGGAAAUUAGUUUGUUUUAAACAGGGGAGACUUAUUAUUCAACUCUGAUGGCUGCAUUUGUUCCUAUAGAUUUAAGUUCUGAUAGUGAUGAGUUGAUAGAAGAUGAUGACUUUGAUGCGUCACCUAUAAGGAGAUCUACUGAGUUUAGGCUUCUUCCAUCUUGGGCUACUACAGCAGGCAAAAACUCUUGGUGCUAUGGCUGGCAUACUGAACAUAUAUCUCCCAGAAUAGCAUAUGGUUCUAAUGGGUUCUCAUCAAGUGUAAAUGAUCAUUCAUUGCUAAAUUCUUCACGUUGGCUAACUACAAAAGCUGAUCAUUCUCUAUAUUUUAUGGGGAAUGGGAAUAUGGGUCAGAAUCUUGAUAUCUAUGGAAGCACGUACCAUUUGGCAAGGCCAAGUUUAACCAAUAGUAAGGGCUAUAUGAGGGACCAUUAUGGAAGGCACAUUUAUGAGGAUUUUUUGAUGUAUGAAAACAACGGAAGAAGGAAACUACCCCCAAAGCAGAAGGCCAUGGUCGAACUAACUGAGAAAGAAGAGGUUGCCGUGGCGAUGCUGAAAAGUAUGGUCCAAAAAGAUACAUACGGGGUUGCUCGAUUGGUGGAGGAUGAAGUGUCGCACUGGUUCAAGACAGUGGUGUCAGGAGCUGAGUCUGAGUUAGAGGAAGAGGUAAUGGCUAAGGACGUAGAGAAAGCUACCUUUGCUGAGAAGGUGAAGGCCCGAAAGAGGGUGAGGUCUGCAGCCGCUGCUGCUGGGACGUCUGGCAAGAAGGCGAAGACACAAGCAACGGUGGUCAUUCUAAGAGACCGAGCUGACUCCCAACUACGCCCAGUUGGCACGGCAGGGCUCAAACCAAGCACUUCCCGACCUGAGAUUGGUCCUAUUGAUCCGCUACCUUCCCAAAAAGGGAGUGAUGUCAAUUGAUCCGCUACCUGGGGCGCAAUGUUCUUCUUCCGGGUGAUAGGGCUCAGUGCAACGUUGAGGAAGACAAGGACCUAAUGAUCCAAACCAUGAACCUCUGCUUUGAGGUGGCGGCAGUGAAUAGUCUUUUCCAAGAAAAGUACCAAGCUUACCGCUCUAGUUACAGGGAUAUAGAGGUGGAGAACACCCUCCUAAAACAAACCAUUGGAGACGUCACUUCCAAGAACAAAGGGCUUGAAUUGGAGCUGAAGACUUCAGAGGGAGUAAUAGUCAAACUCCAAGAAGAAUUAAUGGCUGCCAAAGCCAGGCAUGCCGCCGAAGUGGAUGGUUAUAAACAGAAGAUUGCUUCUUUGGGGGACCGUCUAGAGCAAUCGCCAAACAAUUGAAGCUGAGGCAUCCAAACAUGGACUUUAGCUGGGUGAAUGACAUCCUGCCAGGGGAUGGGGACAAUGGUGGGGAUGGCAAGGGUGAAAAUGCGCUUGAGUUUUAGACUUGGUUUUUGUGAAGUCCCAGAGCAUAGAAGUGUGGAAGGAAGCUUUGUUGAUACAAAGUACACGGGUCGUGUAAGCACAACCAUGGACCGGUGUAACAUUCUGCCAGAAGAAAUCCAGAGAACCGAGGAAGAAACAAAGUACACGGGCCGUGUAACUUGACCCGUGUAAAUCCUGGAAACCCGUGUAACUUUCUGUGUCAAUGCAAAACAUACCCACUCAGCUCCAGUAGUUUACAUGGCCUUGGGCUAUGUAGUGAUACACGGGCCAUGUAUCCGUUGACAAUCAGUUUCCUGAUUUUGUUUCAGUUGUAGUUUUUGACAAAGACUCUAAAAACCUAACCCUAGACCAUUUAUUGUAAAUAAAAGAGGCAGCAGCCGACUCAAAGGAGACCAUCCAAAAAUUCAGUAGUCUCUCCAUUCGUCUUUUAGAAUUCUUCUUUUUCUUCUUUAAUUUUCUAUAAGUCAUGAACAUGAGUGGCUAAGUUUUUAAUUCAGUUCAAGGGAUUCAAGUUCUUUUGCUUGAUUUGUGA